rnacentral:ncRNA from 1 species
AUAAAGUUUUAUUUUAGCUUAAGAAUUUAUUAUUAAAUUGAUUUAUAUGUAAAUUUUUGUAUGAUUUUAUGUUAAUUUUAAAAAUUAAUAUAUUUUAAAUAACCGCAGUAAUUAAUUUUAUUAAUUAAAGAAAUUUAGAUAAAGUAAUUUUAAAUAGUAUAGAUUAAAUAGGUGCCAGCAGUCGCGGUUAUACCUAUUAUGCGAAUAAAUUUUUUUAGAAAAAGUAAAAUUGAUAAAAUAAAAUAAAAUUUAAUUUAUUAAGUGAAAUUUUAAAUUAAAAUUUUUUUUUGUAUAAAGUUAUUGAUUCUAAAAAAUUUUUGUAAAAAACUAGGAUUAGAUACCCUAUUAUUAAAAAAGUAAAGUUUUGUUCUAAAGUAGUAGUAGUUAUGUUCUUGAAACUUAAAAAAUUUGGCGGUAUUUUAGUCUUUCCAGAGGAACCUGUUUUGUAAUCGAUAAUCCACGAUGGACCUUACUUAAAUUUGUUUUCAGUUUAUAUACCGUCGUUAUCAGAAUAUUUUAUAAGAAUAUUAAUAUUCAAUAAUUUAUAUAAAAAUUUAUAUCAGAUCAAGGUGUAGCUUAUGUUUAAGUAAUAAUGGGUUACAAUAAAUUUAUUUAUAUGGAUGAAAUUAUGAAAAAAUUUUUGAAAGUGGAUUUGGCAGUAAAAUUAUAUAGAUAAAUAAUUUGAUUUUAGCUCUAAAAUAUGUACACAUCGCCCGUCGCUCUUAUUAUUAAGGUAAGAUAAGUCGUAACAUAGUAGAUGUACUGGAAAGUGUAUCUAGAAUGAC